rnacentral:rRNA from 1 species
GAGUUUGAUCGUGGCUCAGGAUGAACGCUGGCGGCGUGCCUAAUACAUGCAAGUCGAGCGAACGGACGAGAAGCUUGCUUCUCUGAUGUUAGCGGCGGACGGGUGAGUAACACGUGGAUAACCUACCGUAUAAGACUGGGAUAACUUCGGGAAACCGGAGCUAAUACCGGGAUAAUAUUUUGAACCGCAUGGUUCAAAAGUGAAAGACGGUCUUGCUGUCACUUAUAGAUGGAUCCGCGCUGCAUUAGCUAGUUGGUAAGGUAACGGCUUACCAAGGCAACGAUGCGUAGCCGACCUGAGAGGGUGAUCGGCCACACUGGAACUGAGACACGGUCCAGACUCCUACGGGAGGCAGCAGUAGGGAAUCUUCCGCAAUGGGCGAAAGCCUGACGGAGCAACGCCGCGUCGAGUGAUGAAGGUCUUCGGAUCGUAAAACUCUGUUA